CAAGAAUAUUGCUGAACUGAAACAGUUCUGUAAAGAGGAAUGGUCAAGAAUUAUUCCUGACCGUUGUGCACGUCUGAUCUGCAACUACAGGAAACGUUUGGUUGAAGUUAUUGCUGCCAAAGGAGGUUCAACCAGUUAUUAAAUCCAAGGGUUCACAUACUUUUUCCACCCGCACUGUGAAUGUUUACAUGGUGUGUUCAAUAAAAACAUGGCAACAU